rnacentral:rRNA from 1 species
GAUCAGUGGCUACAGGACGACGCUGGCGGCGUGCCUAACACAUGCAAGUCGAGCGAGGAGAUUCCUUCGGGAUGAUCCUAGCGGCGGACGGGUGAGUAACACGUGGGCAACCUGCCUCAUAGAGAGGAAUAGCCUUCCGAAAGGGAGAUUAAUACCUCAUAACAUUGCAGUUUCGCAUGGAACAGCAAUUAAAGGAGCAAUCCGCUAUGAGAUGGGCCCGCGGCGCAUUAGCUAGUUGGUGAGGUAACGGCUCACCAAGGCGACGAUGCGUAGCCGACCUGAGAGGGUGAUCGGCCACAUUGGGACUGAGACACGGCCCAGACUCCUACGGGAGGCAGCAGUGGGGAAUAUUGCACAAUGGGGGAAACCCUGAUGCAGCAACGCCGCGUGAGUGAUGACGGCCUUCGGGUUGUAAAGCUCUGUCUUCAGGGACGAUAAUGACGGUACCUGAGGAGGAAGCCACGGCUAACUACGUGCCAGCCGCGGC